rnacentral:rRNA from 1 species
AUGCCAACGGAGUUUGAAGCUGCCUGGGCUGAACUCGUGCACAAGUACAACCUGGAGAACGACCAGAUGAUGAUGCAGCUGUGGAGUGAUAGGAAAAUGUGGAUUUCAGCAUUUUACAAGAACAUUUUAUGUGCCAGAAUGACUUCCACAAAACAAAGCGAGAGCAUGAAUCACGUGCUCAAGAGAGGGUUUGUCAAGGGGACCCAGAACCUACACAAGUUUGCUAGGCAGACCAAUCCUAUGACAAAAACAACCUACAGCUAUGAGGAAGACAUGGCUAUCAAGUACAUGAGAGCCGUGUACACCGAGAUGAGUACUAGGAUGAGAAAAGCCACGAUGUUUCACGCAAAGCCUACAGCAGAGCCCACUAAGUACCUUGUGUACUAUCACAACAAGGCUGGCCAUGAUGAUGAAAACAGAUUUGCCUGGUCAAAGCAUGAAUUCUAG